rnacentral:tRNA from 1 species
GCGGCAGUGGCGUAAUGGUAGCCGCGCCGGCCUUAGGAGCCGGUGCUGAAAGGCGUGGGGGUUCGAGUCCCUUCUGCCGCA